rnacentral:tRNA from 1 species
GGGCCGGUGGCUUAGUCAGGAAAUAGCACUGGCCUUCUAAGCCAGUGGUCUCGGGUUCGAAUCCCGACCGGCCCG